AAGAAGGACAGCUUGGCUAUGGUCACUGUUUGCCAUUAGAGCUCUCUAGGGUUGGCAGUGAGGGAGGAAGGGAAGGGAAGUGGCAUAAUGCUCCCGGCCACUCGGGACUCAAAGGGAUGGCAUUUAGUAAAUCACACGCGGUAUUUGCUAAACUGUGGUCGAGAUUUGUCUUCCCGGCCUCAUUGGGUCUUUAAUAAGGCAGGGACAUUGCCCCGGUGUUGAGGCUGCAAAGUGAGUUCUGAAUUGGUUUUCCGAAGACAGAGGAGCAUCUGAAAUUGAACAAAUAUUUGUUGAAUGAAUGAAGAAAGGGGACACCUUUUAGGGAUGAUUCGGGAGAGGCCUCAGAUUCCCCAGGAGGGCUGGAGCUGGGGUCGACCACAGGGGCUCGCUGCCCCCGGACCACCUGUUCGACUCCCUGGGCAAUUGGACUUCGCGGGCUCCAGCUGGCGCAGGGCACGGUUUACCCGCGACGCUGAAACUGAGGGGAAAAACCGAGUUUACAGAGUCCAAAAUGGGUAGGGGGCGCAUACUCAGCGGCGCAAAAACAAACUAGCGCGGGGAUUUUAACGGAAAACAAGUUUUUACUUAAUGAACAGCGAAAUUAAGCAACAAAAUUAAUCGUGAAGCCAUCAACUUCCAGAUGUCUGUAUUUGGCGUUUACACCGCACAGGUUUUCUCUCUAUCGAGUCAUUUCUCGAAAAGGAGGAUAGGUGUUUUCUGCACCUUUACUUUGGGGAAUUAUAAAAUCAGGAUGAAAACAAGAAGCAACUGCAAGAAAUCAGUGACCAUAAAUGCUUGCAGAUGUUUCCACGAAAAUGAUGACCAGCAUUUCUGGGAAAGAGCAAGGAGGAGAAAAAGGCCUGUCCACGAAAUUUGUGCUUUUUAAGACAAUAGUCAAUCUGUAAGUAAUAGAAAGAAUUUGUAUCCUUUUGAUUUUUUGUACUUGGACACAUAAAUUUUUGAGAGAAGAGGAAAAUGCCUACUUAAAAAGGCUUACUAACUCAUUCUAUUUCCCAUAAAAUUCCACUGAUGUCAGUGGCAGUGUUAUUUUAUACAUUGACUUAUAUGAUAUGGACCAUGAACAUUUUGAACAAAAUAAUUAUUAUAUAUUUAAAGAGUGCUGUGAUGGUCCUGAAGUUUGACAGUGUACUUACUUCCUGAAGAUAACCACGCAAACCAUUUUAAAUGUCUCCAAAUUAAGAACUUUUGUAUCCCUAUACCUCUAAAAAUAGGACUAAAACCAGUGAUAAAGUCCCAAACUCUUGCUUUGUGACUCAUCAGGGAUAAACUCAGAGUUAAUUAUUUUGUUGUAGGCAAGAGACAGAGGCAAUAUGACGUGCCUUUCUUAUCUUUUAUUUAGGGUGUAAAUAAACUGUAAUAAAUAUUUUCAAUAAUAAAGACAUAAAAUUUAAAAAAUCAUGACAUCCUUCAAAUAUGAAUAAUUACAUUAACUAUAAAAGCUUCCAUUGCAGUUACUUGAAAAAUUGUUUUCACAGGGUCCAAGAAAUCAGUGCUUUUAGAAAAUAGGAUGUUAAAAAAUGAAGUAGUUACAUUUGUACAUUUUAUUUAGGCUUAUAAGGAUGUGUAUAAAUUAAAUAGGAAUGAUUGUCCAAAUAAUUACAUGUCCUUUAACUUCUUCCUAAUAGUAUAUAUAAUACUGUUGAGAGGUUUAACUGCUCAUUUUUUUUCUGUUUUAAAUUUUUAUUAAAAUGGUUAGAAUACAGAUUGACUUUCUUUGUAAAGACUGUUUUACUCUUCCUGAAAUAGGACAUAUAUGUACUCUGAGAAAACAGAAUGAAAAGUCUCAACUCAUGGGAGUUCCCAUACGAGGCUCUGAUCUUGUGUUUGGAGCUAAGUUCCUCACAGCAGCUUCUUUCAGCUAUCUUAUAAGAAUGGUGUUCUGUGGGACAAGAAAUAGACUGAUGCUAAUUGAUUUUUUAAUCCCCUCUUUCUCCAGUGGAACAAACCACUUUCACAAAACCUGCCCUAUGUAGAACCCAUAGUUUUCUAGCUUGCAACAAAGAGAUUAGGGAAAAACAGGGGAAAA